UGAGGAAUAUUGGUCAAUGGGCGGGAGCCUGAACCAGCCAAGUCGCGUGAGGGAAGACGGUCCUAUGGAUUGUAAACCUCUUUAGGCGGGGAGCAAUGCCGGGCACGCGUGCCCGGAGGGAGAGUACCCGCAGAAUAAGCAUCGGCUAACUCCGUGCCAGCAGCCGCGGUAAUACGGAGGAUGCGAGCGUUAUCCGGAUUUAUUGGGUUUAAAGGGUGCGUAGGCGGAUUUUUAAGUCAGCGGUAAAAUGUCCGGGCUCAACCCGGGCCGGCCGUUGAAACUGGGGAUCUUGAGUGGGCGAGAAGUAUGCGGAAUGCGUGGUGUAGCGGUGAAAUGCAUAGAUAUCACGCAGAACUCCGAUUGCGAAGGCAGCAUACCGGCGCCCGACUGACGCUGAGGC
rnacentral:rRNA from 1 species